rnacentral:tRNA from 1 species
UGGGUCGUUAGCUCAGUUGGUAGAGCAGUUGACUUUUAAUCAAUUGGUCUCAGGUUCGAGCCGAGCGAAGCGA